rnacentral:snRNA from 1 species
GUGCUUGCUUCGGCAGCACAUAUACUAAAAUUAGAAUGAUACAGAGAAGAUUAGCAUGGCCCCUGUGCAAGGAUGAUAUGCAAAUUCGUGAAGCGUUCCAUAUUUAU